UUCUGGCAAGGCGCCGUCCGAGUUCCCUGGAACGGGACGCCGGAGAGGGUGAGAGCCCCGUACAGGCGGACGCCGAGCCUCUGUAAACUCCUUCGACGAGUCGAGUAGUUUGGGAAUGCUGCUCAAAGCGGGAGGUAAAUUUCUUCUAAAGCUAAAUAUAGGCCAGAGACCGAUAGCGCACAAGUAGAGUGAUCGAAAGAUGAAAAGCACUUUGAAAAGAGGGUUAAAAAGCACGUGAAAUUGUUGAAAGGGAAGCGCCUGUGACCAGACUCGCGCCCGGCGUAUCAUCCGGCGUUCUCGCCGGUGCACUACGCCGGGCUCGGGCCAGCAUCGGUUCUGGUGGGGGGAUAAAGGCGGCGGGGAUGUGGCUCCCCCGGGAGUGUUAUAGCCCGCCGCUCAAUGCCCUCGCCGGGACCGAGGACCGCGCAUUGCAAGGAUGCUGGCGUAAUGGUCACCAGCGACCCGUCUUGAAACACGGACCAAGGAGUCAAGCAUUAGGGCGAGUGUUUGGGUGUAAAACCCGCACGCGAAAUGAAAGUGAACGUAGGUGGGAGCCUCGGCGCACCAUCGACCGAUCCUGAUGUCUUCGGAUGGAUUUGAGUAAGAGCCUUAACGCUUGGACCCGAAAGAUGGUGAACUAUGCUUGUGUAGGGUGAAGCCAGAGGAAACUCUGGUGGAGGCUCGCAGCGGUUCUGACGUGCAAAUCGAUCGUCAAACAUGAGCAUGGGGGCGAAAGACUAAUCGAACCAUCUAGUAGCUGGUUACCGCCGAAGUUUCCCUCAGGAUAGCAGUGUUGUUUUCAGUUUUAUGAGGUAAAGCGAAUGAUUAGGGACUCGGGGGCGCUAUUUAGCCUUCAUCCAUUCUCAAACUUUAAAUAUGUAAGAAGCCCUUGUUGCUUAGUUGAACGUGGGCAUCGA
rnacentral:rRNA from 1 species